GGGACAAAUUAUUGUAUUCGACUGUAUUCACAGCGUGAAACAUGAGAUUACACUGUUUUUAAACGGAAAGUGAAUCAAUUAACUUAAUACACUCCU
rnacentral:pre_miRNA from 1 species